UACAGAGGGGGCAAGCGUUUAUUCGGAAUUAUUGGGCGUAAAGGGCGCGUAGGCGGCUUUGCAAGUGACGGGUGAAAUCCCUCGGCUUAACCGAGGAACUGCCUGUCAGACUGCAUGGCUCGAGACCAGGAGAGGUGAGUGGAAUUCCCAGUGUAGCGGUGAAAUGCGUAGAUAUUGGGAGGAACACCAGUGGCGAAGGGCGGGUCUCUGGGCCGAUACUGACGCUGAGGAGCGAAAGCAUGGGUAGCGAACAGG
rnacentral:rRNA from 1 species